rnacentral:rRNA from 1 species
UACGGGGGGGGUAAGCGUUGUUCGGAAUUACUGGGCGUAAAGGGCUCGUAGGCGGCCAACUAAGUCAGACGUGAAAUCCCUCAGCUUAACUGGGGAACUGCGUCUGAUACUGGAUGGCUUGAGUUUGGGAGAGGGAUGCGGAAUUCCAGGUGUAGCGGUGAAAUGCGUAGAUAUCUGGAGGAACACCGAUGGCGAAGGCAGGUCUCUGGGCAUUAACUGACGCUGAGGAGCGAAAGCAUGGGGAGCGAACAGG